CUAAAUCAACGGAACUAUUUCUAAAAUUUAUCAGAAACUCUAGAACUACUUGGGGUGCAAGUAGAACUUUUAUGAAAACUUGCGGUGCCAAUUUCACAGUAACACGCAUAACUCGGUGAAAAAUAACCCAUCGAAUUGAUAUCAAAUUAAGAGAGAAUUGAUAUAAAUUGCAUUGAUUAAAUCAAAUUGAUGUCGAUUUGAUGGUUAUUUCUCUGGAAAAUCUAUCUUAAAACGAUGAAUUUUACAACCGUAUAAAAAUUAUUUACAGAAAUGCUAACAAAAUUUCUCCAUUAGUAAAAUGUUAUCAGAGAUUGAUAUAGGUACAAAAUGAAUGAAAAAUGUAUUAGAAACGAGAAUGAGAAAUGAGCGUAAAUAGUUGUUAAAAAUUCUAUGUAAAUAUGUAAUCAUGCCAUGUAACCCCCUUCCAAAGUUUGAGAAGUACAAGAAAUAAACAAGUAUUAUUAUAUGCGGUAGUAAUUUUAUUAUGCAGAGUAUAAUAACAAAUAAAAAAAUAACAGUUGGCGCGCGCGAAGCGCGUGCAUGUUCUAGUCCUCUUAUAAAAUAGCCAUGUAACCCUAAAGUUGCCUGCUAAUCGCGAUUGCAUUGUUGCCGCUUUAUUCCGAUCGCGAUUGGCUGUCUCGCGCUUGACUCGCUUCGUGUGCGAGAGUCGUGGUUUGACAGUUUAGUCGAGAGUAGCUGUCAUUGAAUUUUGACAGCUAUCAUGUGAAUAUGCAUAUUGAUGUGCACGUAACAAAUCGGUUAUGUGCAUAUUAUUGCACAUUUCUUUUAAAAGAGAUUAGUGAGAGAGGGAGAGGGAAGAAAUAAAAAAACUUUCAGUCAGCGUCUUCUCUACAUAUUUGACAGAGCAUGAAUUUUUUUUGGAAAGAAAGAAGGAAAGAAAAGAGGUGAGAGAGAGAGAUGAGGAGAAAGAAGAAAUAAGAAGAAAAACAUCAGGUAAUAUAGUAAAAUAAAGAAUAACAUUAAAAUUUAAUAUAACUUAUAAUUACAUCAGGUAAUAGUAAAAUAAAGAAUAACAUUAAAAUUUAAUAUAACUUAUUAUUUAAAAUAUAUUUUAACAGUUCGCGUGUUUUACGUAUCUGACAGAACAUACAUUUUAUUAAAAAUAGAAAAGGAAAGGAAACAUAUUACAGACAAAGAAAGAGAGAGAGAGAGAGAGAGAGAGAGAGAGAGAGAGAGAGAGAGAGAGAAAGAGUAAGGGAGAAUUAAAUAACUUAGAAAAUGAAACAGCAAUUUUGUGAAGAAACAGCGAUAUUGAAAAGAAGGAACAGAAAGAGUUAAAAAAAAAACAAA